AGCGAACGCUGGCGGCAGGCCUAAUACAUGCAAGUCGAGCGGCCGUAGCUAUACGGCAGCGGCAGACGGGAGAGUAACACGUGGGAACGUACCCUUCGGUUCGGAACAACCCAGGGAAACUUGGGCUAAUACCGGAUACGUCCGUAAGGAGAAAGAUUUAUCGCCGAGGGAUCGGCCCGCGUCUGAUUAGCUUGUUGGUGAGGUAACGGCUCACCAAGGCGACGAUCAGUAGCUGGUCUGAGAGGAUGAUCAGCCUCACUGGGACUGAGACACGGCCCAGACUCCUACGGGAGGCAGCAGUAGGGAAUAUUGGACAAUGGGCGCAAGCCUGAUCCAGCCAUGCCGCGUGAGUGAUGAAGGCCUUAGGGUUGUAAAGCUCUUUCGGCGGGGAAGAUAAUGACGGUACCCGCAGAAGAAGCCCCGGCUAACUUCGUGCCAGCAGCCGCCGUAAAAC
rnacentral:rRNA from 1 species